GGGCGCGUGGCUCAGCUGGUUAGAGCGCGUGUAUCACACACACGAGGUCGGGGGUUCGAGUCCCUCCGCGCCCA
rnacentral:tRNA from 1 species